rnacentral:rRNA from 1 species
GAUGAACGCUAGCUACAGGCUUAACACAUGCAAGUCGAGGGGAAACGACAUCGAAAGCUUGCUUUUGAUGGGCGUCGACCGGCGCACGGGUGAGUAACGCGUAUCCAACCUGCCCAUCACUUGGGAAUAACCUUGCGAAAGUAAGACUAAUACCCAAUGAUAUCCCACGAAGGCAUCGGAAUGGGAUUAAAGAUUUAUCGGUGAUGGAUGGGGAUGCGUCUGAUUAGCUUGUUGGCGGGGUAACGGCCCACCAAGGCAACGAUCAGUAGGGGUUCUGAGAGGAAGGUCCCCCACAUUGGAACUGAGACACGGCCCAGACUCCUACGGGAGGCAGCAGUGGGGAAUACUGCACAAUGGGCGCAAGCCUGAUGCAGCGACGCCGCGUGGGGGAUGACGGCCUUCGGGUUGUAAACUCCUUUCGCUAGGGACGAAGCUUUUUGUGACGGUACCUAGAUAAGAAGCACCGGCUAACUACGUG